UGCUUUAAUUUGGUUCACCAUUUUCGUAAUAAAGUAAAAGACACAAAGUUUAAGAUUACAAAUUAAAAAAGAAAACGAUCACUAUUUUGGAAACGUGCACGUGGCUGCACGAAUAAUAAGAUUUCAGGCCUGAGCCCAUCACAACAAAAGAUAUGCCAGUUUUGCUUUUGCUGGCAUUGGCCUGUCAUCUACAACAAUCUCAGCAUCAUUGCUCUGAUAAACAACAUCCCAAUUGGUUGGAGAAACUGCCAAUGUUACGGAUCUAUUCUUCUUGAAAUGUCAUCGAGUACGUAUUCACAAGGACACCCUUUUCCUAUACCGCCUUGUGGAUUCAACGUUUCGACAUCCGGGUGGAGCAACCGGAGCAACUGUGGAUGCCUGGCCGUAUUUCUCAGGCUAAAAGAUGUGUUACUGUCGACCUGAUCACCGCUGCUGCUGCCAGCAUCACUGGGUCGGCAUAUCUCAGUCGGACUCGGGAGCUCACUGCAGCCGUGAUGAUGGUGUGUCUAUGUAAAUGAGAAAAGAAGUUGUAUAUCUCUCUCGUCGUCCCUUCUCGCUGUGUGACCCCGGUGGAGAGAGAACGAAAGGAAAGAAAGAAGAAAAAAAAGGAAUAAUAAUAAUAAAAAAAAGGGCCAACGGAAUGGACGGGGUUGCACACGCGCGAGCGAUAUAUAGUGCCGACAGUCCACACAACAAGAAAACCGUGAAUGUAAGGAAAGAAAAAAGGGCGCAACACGGAUCCGCCAGGGGGUCCGCUCCUCUUUUGUUUUCUUAUUACAAUAAAAAAAUGAAAA